GCCAGAAGGCCAAUAGAAUGAAAGGGCAGGGAGGGAAGGACCAAAGAGAUGGUUGCAGAAACCUACAGUGUGUCACAUUUGUAAAAUGGUUUCACAGCUUCUAAAGUCAUUUCAGACGAUUUAUCUCUGUGGAUCCCCACAAGGUCACUAUGGAGGAGGAACGGCGGUUCUAGUUUUCUUCACUUCACAGAUGGGGAAACUGAGGCUUGGUGAGGUCUGGAGAUUUAUCCAGGGUCCAAUAGCUUAGUCAGGACCUAAUCUAGGAUUUCAAGCCAGUCUGCUGACCCCGGGUUGCAGUGAUCCUAGGACCACACGGCACAACCUCUGAAGUUGACUUUUUAAAUAUUGAGUCCCCUUAUACAUCUAACCUGUAUCCUGUAAAUAUAGUAAACAGCAGCUUUUAAAGCUGGUCACCAAGUGUGGGGACCCAAGGACCUGGGAGCCCACUUUCUGGUUCACUCGCUGGCUUCUCACCUGCCAAGUUAUCAAACAUGCUCAAAAUGUGAUUAGUUUUACUAAUCCUUUUGCUAAAUUGUGUCAUGGUAUCCAUAUGCCAGUGAGCACCCCAUGCCCAAAUCAGCCCCGGGAGAUUAUUCAAAUGGCUGCAGAGAGCUCCCGCCUGCUCCUCCUGCAGCCAUGUUGAACUAUUCAAAAUGAUAAUCGGGCAUGUGGCAGUAACUCAGACGGGACAGCUCUAUCAUUCACUAGAGGGCUGGGCGCAGCCUCCAGGGUCCUUAUGUCUUUUGCUAGAGCCAGCGCCUCUCCCAGCGCUCUCUCUCAUCCUCCGCACAAUUUAUUUCUUCAGAGCGCCCUUCAUACACACCAGCACCGCUCACUUCACCCAGAGCGUCAAUCACCAGAUGCCAAGAGAAGGGGACCUGUCCUUGGGGGAGAUUUAAAGAGAGACCUGAAUCAAGGUUGGGGGUUGUGAGAGUAGCACGGGAUGGUGGAGAAGAUUGGGUUGGACUGGUCAGGACCCUGGUAGGCACAGGCAAAGGAAGGAGGGCAGGGUUGGGCAUGGGAAAGAGAAAACAGAGAGCUGGCUAUCAUGGUCCCUCUCCACUGCACCAAGCAGUGACCUGCUCUUGGCCUUGAAUUUCUAGAAACUUUAACUCAAGUCCUGCUGCUCAGGAGUAGGGACAGCUUCAGGCCACUUCCAGGAUUCCAAGUGCAUAGAAUUCUGAGAUGGCUCCUAAGAAGAAUAAUCAAAACUGACCAAUGUUGGUAAUGAAGGGACUCAAUUAAAAAUAUCCCCUUCCCCCACUUAAAAUCAGAACUGAGAGAGAGAGGCCCUGAAGUCUGACAGAUAAGAAGACACAGAACAAUGCGAUUAUCACCAGUGAAAGUGAGGCAGCGACUACAACUCAAAUAGGUGGGGUCAGCCCACUUUAUUUCCCUCCACCCUCGAUGGGAUUAUCCACCAGCCCCAGGCAGCUCUGGGUAUGGAGCUUGCUCCUGUAAACACAUGGAACAGAGGCACAGAGAAUAGCUGCUUCCUGCAGGUAGGCUGGGUUGAGAGAGGUGAGAUGGGGGAACAGAUCUGAGAUAGGGAUUUAGGAUAAGGAGAGAAAAAUAGACUACCUUCAGGGAGACAUCUUUAAGCCACUGAAAUGCAGAAUCAAGCCACUGAGAUACUGAAAACACAGUGGCAAACCUUAGCCCAUGCCCUUGGCCCACGCCCUUGACCCAUGUCCUUAACCCAUGCUCUUGUAAAAUAAGGGAAAUGCACAAGCUGGGAAAACCUAGGCAAAAUUAUACAGCUCCACCCUGGAUCCACCUUCAGUCCAGCUCCUGACACAGCCCUUAUAUAAAUAUUGGACCCCAGCCCAAGUCGGGGCUGCUUCUCACUCUCGAGACAGCCUGCCUUCUCCCUUGAAUGUGCAUCUACCUUCCUAAAUAGACCUGUCUGGCUUGCACUGAAAUUUUUUUCUGCCAUAUAUGCCACAAAUCCUGCUGGUCUGAGUUGAGUUCCCCCUCUCUUCUGGAAUUCUUCUUAUUAAAUUUUUUUUAUACUUUUAUUUUGCUUUGUAUUGUUUUAAUUGGUUACACAUGACAGUACAAUGAUCUGGGAUUCUUCAAACCCUUCUCUGAGGACAUCUCUCCUCCCAUAACAGAGCCACACAGGCUCUCCUCCUCUCACUCUGGUCAAUCAGAACUCACCGCUCAGAGAAGUCCCAGUGACUUGGAGGGCUCCCUAUUAGGAUCUGCAAACAUCUUCUUCUCCAUAACCUAACCGAUGCAUAGUCCUGUAUAGACUAUAAAACACUGCAGUAGCUUAGAAGAAGCAUCUUUUUAUAAGUCUUCUAAAUGACUCAAAUCAUGAUUUUCAUACCCACUUUACCAAUAAAAAAAAGUGAGAAUUCAAAUGAUGGUUGACAUGACCCCCAUUGGGCAGUAAGUACAUGGCAGAGUUGGAAGCCCA
rnacentral:lncRNA from 1 species